CCUACGGGUGGCAGCAGUGAGGAAUAUUGGUCAAUGGGCGCGAGGCUGAACCAGCCAAGUAGCGUGAAGGAUGACUGCCCUAAGCGUUGUAAACUUCUUUUAUAAAGGAAUAAAGUCAGGCACGUGUGCCUUUUUGUGUGUACUUUAUGAAUAAGGAUCGGCUAACUCCGUGCCAGCAGCCGCGGUAAUAAGGAGGAUCCGAGCGUUAUCCGGAUUUAUUGGGUUUAAAGGGAGCGUAGAUGGGUUGUUAAGUCAGGUGUGAAAGUUUGCGGCUCAACCGUAAAAUUGCAAUUGAUACUGGCUGUCUUGAGUACAGUUGAGGUAGGCGGAAUGCGUGGUGUAGCGGUGAAAUGCUUAGAUAUUACGAAGAACUCCGAUUGCGAAGGCAGCUUACUAACCUGCCACUGACACUGAGGCUCGAAAGCGUGGGUAUCAAACAGGAUUAGAUACCCGGGUAGUC
rnacentral:rRNA from 1 species